GAUGAACGCUGGCGGCGUGCCUAAUACAUGCAAGUCGAACGGAGAGCUAGCAAUAGUUCUUAGUGGCGAACGGGUGAGUAACGCGUUGGUGACCUGCCCCGAAACGGGGGAUAACAGUUCGAAAGGACUGCUAAUACCCCAUGUGAUCCUUGAGGUUAGAGGCUCAAUGAUUAAAGGAGAAAUUCACUUCGGGAGGGGCCUGCGUCCCAUCAGCUUGUUGGUAGGGUAAUGGCCUACCAAGGCGACGACGGGUAGGGGACCUGAGAGGGUGACCCCCCACACUGGCACUGAAAUACGGGCCAGACACCUACGGGUGGCUG
rnacentral:rRNA from 1 species